rnacentral:rRNA from 1 species
AACGUAGGUUCCGAGCGUUAUCCGGAUUUACUGGGCGUAAAGGGCGUUCAGGGGGUUUGGCAAGUCGGGAUUGAAAUCUCUCGGCUCAACCGGGAGAGGUUGUCCGAUACUGCUGGACUUGAGGGCAGUAGAGGGUGGUGGAAUUCCGGGUGUAGUGGUGAAAUGCGUAGAUAUCCGGAGGAACACCAGUGGCGAAAGCGGCCACCUGGACUGUACCUGACGCUGACACGCGAAAGCUAGGGGAGCGAACGGG